GUAAAGCCAAAGCCCACCCUGUGUAACAUCUGCUUAAGAGAACCGAAAGAAGCCUUAAAGAAAUCAAGUAAAUGGGCUGUGUAUUUGACCCCAUGUAACAUGCCAUACCCCGUGUAACCUUCUGGUCUCCCUAAAAUAAGAAGCACAAAGUAGUUUAGAGACUUACAUGGCCUGACCCGUGUAGUGCCACACAGGCUGUGUAAAAUGCACCAGACAAGACUUUUAAUUCGACCUGAAUUCUGCUGCACUCAUUUCGAAUAGACUUCAAA
rnacentral:misc_RNA from 1 species